GAUGAACGCUGGCGGCGUGCUUAACACAUGCAAGUCGAACGAGAGAUGAGGAGCUUGCUCUUCAAAUCGAGUGGCGAACGGGUGAGUAACGCGUGAGGAACCUGCCUCAAAGAGGGGGACAACAGUUGGAAACGACUGCUAAUACCGCAUAAGCCCACGGCUCGGCAUCGAGCAGAGGGAAAAGGAGUGAUCCGCUUUGAGAUGGCCUCGCGUCCGAUUAGCUAGUUGGUGAGGUAACGGCCCACCAAGGCGACGAUCGGUAGCCGGACUGAGAGGUUGAACGGCCACAUUGGGACUGAGACACGGCCCAGACUCCUACGGGAGGCAGCAGUGGGGAAUAUUGCACAAUGGGGGAAACCCUGAUGCAGCGACGCCGCGUGGAGGAAGAAGGUCUUCGGAUUGUAAACUCCUGUUGUUGAGGAAGAUAAUGACGGUACUCAACAAGGAAGUGACGGCUAACUACGUG
rnacentral:rRNA from 1 species